UUGAAAGCAGGCGUUCGCAUCUCUCUUACUUGUAGCUAGUUUGUAUCCAAUUGGGAGCCGCGGAGCGUUCGACUUCCUGUCAGUUCUACUAUCUCUCUUUCUCUCUCUCUCGUCGUCUCCCCGUUAUAAAUUAAGUCUUCUGGGGGCAUUGCCGAAGAAAACUUCUGGCGGUUUGCCGCUCUACUUGUAAGGCAGGCGUACACUCGCAUGGAUAUGAUUGCGGCCAUCCGGCACUUUCGAUCACGUUUACGGUUUAACUGAACUUACUCACUUUGAUUUUUAAGUGCUCACCAGUUUAACAUCGCUCCACUGAAAUAGCAAAUCAGACCAUUGAAUCGAGAGAUAUUCACUCAUUAUUUGCUACCUGUUUGUAGCACCGAUAAUAAAGGCGCUUAAUGGUUGUAUUCAGGUGGCUGUCGGAUCUACGCGGUGGUUUCAAGCGACGAGGAUCCAUCUACCAGGGCAACAGUAUAUUUCCGCCGGCGGACCACGACGUGUAGGCUGCCACCUGUCAGCUGUCAGACUCUCAGAGGAGAUCGUCCCCGGGGUCAUCCACGGGGGUGUGAGGGAGAAACAUGGAUGCUAUCAAUGCCGCAAGGUUACUUCUGCUUGCUCUGAUUUACGCCGGGCCCAACAUGCGGGAAGGCACCCAUGACACCCUGGACGAGCAGGACAACGCUGUUACCUCGUUGAUUAACGAUGAUAUCCGGAACAUUGAGGCACAAACCAAACAAGAAGACGAGGUAGUACGCGCGCUUCUACAUAAGCUCUUGGUCUCAAAACGCGCCCACAGUCCGACGGGUCGUGGCGCGGACGGUGGGCUGGCACCGUUUCGCUCCAGGAACUCUGACAUGACACGAAGAUUCCCCUUUAAGACAGAACAUAUCACCGAUGGACCUGCUUGUCAGUUUUCAGGCACGUGCAGUAUUGGAUGGAAACGAAGUAUAAGGAAGCGAAGGAGUACAUCCUCUAUAAAUAAUGGCGUUUCUAACAGUCGUACAACACUGAGGCAUCGAAACCCACUAAGAUUAGCAACGAGACCAACCAUGUAGCAGCCUAGUCUAGAAAAAAACAAUCGAUCAACAGAAUCAUUCCAACGAACUUUCUACUCCUUUCCCUCCUUUGAAGUUUUCAUCAUAAGGAUCUUGACAAUGGCCGCUCUAGUCCUUUUUGUAAAAAUAUAAAACCCUGUUUGUCCAAUAUACUUUAGCCCAAGGAACAUCUCGUCAUCUGCAGUGACUAUGCACUUCGUUCAAUAUGAUAGUAUCAAACAUAGCGAUUAACUUAUCUUAGUCACAGUAUCUUAAACCAUUUUCUAACUUAUAGAAAAUUAUACAUCUAAUGAUAAAACAAUAUUUAAAACAAAUGAUCAUAUUCCGUGAAACAUUGAAUUUUAGCUUAUUUCCGUUCAUGACAGUUCACAUAGUCACUUACAGUUUAAUGUAUGGUUGAAUAUCGGAUUUCAUACAGAGAUAUCGAAGUGUGGUAUCUAAACGAUUUCGUUCUUUCUUCCAAUUUAUACUUCUCAGAAUCCUAACAUCCUAAAAUUAAUAUUUCAAAUUAUUUUUGUAAGGUCGAAACGUAAAUGUUAUUGUAAGGGCCAUGACUUUAAUAUUUGAUCUCUUGUAUUGUAGACAUGGUUAUCUUUUCGUUUUAUUAUUACGAUAGUAAUUGUAUUUCUUCUAACCACAUUCUUGAUAGCAUUUGAAGAAUGAGAAGUAGAAUCACUGGAAAUAGUCUGGAUCGGCAUGUAGGAAUGAUCAUAAUAAUUUUUAAGAAAAACAUGGAUAUGUGCGUUUGUUUCAUCAAGUUCAUUUCUAUUGGAAAAUCUUAAUGUCCAAAUCAUUAGGCAGUAUUCUUGUCUUUGCGUUUAAGAAGACAGAGUUCUAAAUAAUUUAAUAGCAUACCAUAAGCUCAGCAUCUAGAAAUUUCGUCCUUUUCCGACAUUGUUGUGAAUGAAAUAGUCACGUUUUAUUGCAAGUUUAAGUGCACUUUUAACGUGAUCAAUAUAAGGCAUACUUAAAUAUUAGCACAAAUUGCGGCGAGAAAUGCAUGUAAAUAAUAGAAAAGUAUAUUGCAAUGUAAUAUUUCUUGCACUGAUGCUGAAAUGGUUGAAUGAGAGCCCUGUACAUGAAGUUAACUAUGGAUUUUCUAAGGUCUUCUGUAAGGGAAGGCCAUUAUUGUGUCGUAAGGAAAAAAAGAGAGGUAGGAAAAAUAAACAUGCAUAAUUAUAAUUGGUAACGUUGACACGAAGGACACAGCCUCGGACGAGAGUUAUUCAAAUUCUCCGUACCCUGCUCAAUUAGAAUAGGUAUGAAUAUUUCAUAAUUCAAUUAAAGACAUCAAAUUACAUUUGAUGAAUUCUGAGGCUAGCGUCGAGUUGAUCAAAGAUGGGUGAAGGAAGGACAUGUCCCUAUUCGAAAGGCGUUGUGACGUUUCGUAGAAAAAAUGAUGAUGGAUAGGAAAGGCUACUAAUAGGAAGCGUGGUAGGAAUUGAUGGACCUGAUGUUGCGUGGACGUUGAUGUGUAACCUUUCAAUAAAUUCCGUGUUCGUCAAAACAAUUUUUGAUCGUAAACAGACCCAAAUUGGUUAAAUUAAGCAAGCACCAUGCGGUUGGAAAUGGAAAUGCGUAUUGUUUGUUUGAACUCGAAAUAUGAUAUUGCGUAUUCGAACAAUAAUAUUUUUUUCUUUUUCUUAUAUUUGGAUAUUAAAAGAGAAGCAACAUGCAUCAUAUGAAUUAUGACUAAAAUGUACAAGAUGGGGGAUGUCAUGUGUUGAAUGUUGAUUUUUGUGUUCGUUAUUAAAAAUUCCAUGCAAUCGA